CAUCUUACUUUGGUGAAAAGAUGCCACGGUGUCCCCUGUCCCCAUUGUUGGUUUGAAAAGUCGCGCUACAGCUCAGCUGGGUCUCCCAACGGGCCGCUGUCCUUAGAUGCAGUGGCUCAGGAAGCAAAGGCCCGGCCCUUCUGCCAACACAGUGGCACGCUCACGUAGAGGACUAACCAUCAGUCUGACAACACGGCCUCCUCCUGCUGCAGCGACUUCUCUUAUUGAUUAGUCACAUAUAUAUGAGGCUUGGUGCAAUCAGGAGAUGUACCAGCAUUUCUACAGAACCCUCUCCAAAGCACCCAAGAAGUCUGAAAGA